AGCUCCAAUAGCGUAUAUUAAAGUUGUUGCGGUUAAAAAGCUCGUAGUUGGAUUUCUGCUGAAGCAAACCGGUCCGCCCUCUGGGUGAGCAUCUGGCUUUAUUUUGGCAUAUGCUUAGACUUUGCAGCUGCACUUGACUGUGUGGUGUGAAGGCUAAGCCAUUUACUUUGAGGAAAUCAGAGUGUUUCAAGCAGGCAAUUGCCUUGAAUACACUAGCAUGGAAUAAUAUGAUAUGACUGUGGUUUUAUUUUGUUGGCUUCUAGAAUUAGAGUAAUGGUUAAUAGGGAUAGUUGGGGGCAUUCAUAUUUAACUGUCAGAGGUGAAAUUCUUGGAUUUGUUAAGGAUGAACGACUGCGAAAGCAUUUGCCAAGGAUGCUU
rnacentral:rRNA from 1 species